rnacentral:rRNA from 1 species
UAGGGAAUCUUCGGCAAUGGACGAAAGUCUGACCGAGCAACGCCGCGUGAGUGAAGAAGGUUUUCGGAUCGUAAAACUCUGUUGGUAGAGAAGGACGUUGGUGAGAGUGGAAAGCUCAUCAAGUGACGGUAACUACCCAGAAAGGGACGGCUAACUACGUGCCAG